ACCGUGAAUGAAAUGCUGCUACGUCACCUCUUGCCCGUUACAUCCUGCAGUGUGACUGGUUACUACCAUUUUCCCAUUAGACCGAGAAGUCCGGAGAAUGCACCUGUAUCCUGUUCAUCUCGACAUCUCCAAAUACUAGCAAAGAUUCAUCACACAGAAGGCCCUCAAUAAAUGCUAAGUGAGUAGAAUAAAAAUACUUUUUUUCUUUCCAAACUCACAUCUGAGCAGUCCCCUUGUGAGGCCACAGUAGGGGGAAAUGACCGACAGAGCAGCCUAAAGGCCUAUCUCUGAAUGUCAAAGCAUUAAGGAAAAGGUAGAGAGUUGAUGUUGGAAUCGGAGGAAUCCAUCUUUCCUGUCCUCUAAAAUCAUCCAGUGAGGCAAGGUACCAACAGAUGCCCCACCCCUCUUACAUUUUAUUGCACAUACCCAGUUGCACCCCUGGAAAACAUUUGUUACAUGAGUUGGCCAGAGAUCUGUCAGAGGCAUAGAUUUCUUGUUUGCUGGCUGUCUGUUCUUUUCUUUUUUUUUUUAAGAGUGCAAGCUUCGUGCUACUCCACGUAGGUUGUUAGGCUUUGCAAAGACAAGACAUAACAAGUAGAGUAAGAGAGGGCUAUAGCUCUCCUCCUAUGAAAGGAAGCCACAGACUGGGGAGGUUUUAAGAAACUCCAGAAAGUGACAUCUACACCUGUAAGUGCAGGUUUCACUGCUGUCUUUGCUGAGUCCUCCGCUUGCUCUGUGCUCUCACAGUGUUUCGUUCAUCCCUCGAGCAAAGCAUUUGUCUUGCUCUGUGAUAGGUAGUUCACGAAUGUCUGUCCCUUUGAGACUCGGAGCUUUCGGAAGGAAGGAGCUUUAUCUUAUUUGUCUCAGGAAGCUGAGUACUUGAAACACGUAAUUUUUGUUAAAAGGGUAGUCCUUAAUGUUUGUUGGAUGGGUGGAUGGAUUUCUCUCUUGCAUAUUUGCUGUGUGGAAAUUAGAACCACACGGCGUCUCUGGCUUCCCUCAAAGCCAGGCAGUGAUCAGGAAGGAUCUGGAAAUAAUAUUGUUCUCCGUCAACAGCAACAGCAGUAUCUCACACUGGCACAGUGUUUUGAAAUGUACCAUGUGUACAGUCCCAACAACAACUCGCCCUUUGGGAUCAAAUCUGCCAGCAGUUCCUGCCUGAAGGACUGGAGGAGCCUGUCAUCUCAGCAGACCGAGGGAGGCAUCCAGAGCCCGAAGCAGUGCGGUCAGUGAAGGGGAAGAGAACAGCCACCUCGCCUGCCCUUCAUCUCGACAACCUCCUGUUGCAGGCGCCUCUCCGCCACUUCAGAGAGGCAUGCCAUCCCACCGUCUGGCCUCAGAAUGCUAACAUCCGGGAAAUUCUACAUUCAUCUUGCUUUGUCCACACCCCGGAUCCUUUGCCCAGCUUGGAGCAAUUUGGUUCCAACCUACAUUUUCAGCUUCAUCACUUGCUGCGACCUGCAGCUAAUGACUUUUUACCUCUGGGCCUUCUCCCACGUAGCUCCCUCUGCCCGGGCUUCUGCCUUCACUUCCUUCUCUCGGAAGACUCCUACACGGCUGUCGGCUCUGCAAGGAAGGCUUCCCACCAUUGUAAGGAACAGAGUCACUUUUAUAAAAUCGUCUAUAAAAAAACAUUCUCUACUCUUUUUUACUUUUGUGAUUUGAUUACUAUUGCACUCAUCUCGGGGGCUUACAGUUAAAUCGUCUUUCCGUACUGUUUCUAGGGCCCCUUCCUCAGGGAUUAAUGAACUUAAUGAAUACCCAUCACAUGCAAGGUGCUCAGAGCAGCAGAAGAAUGACUAACAUCCGGUCUCAGGGUUUCUAGGUCAGCCUAAUUUCCACAGCCAGCAGUGAUCCAGAGGUUGCCUUAGAUGUGGGAGGGAGCCGAGAAAGAGGAAGGCUCUCCUCUUUUUAACCAGAGCAGGGAUGCUUUCGUUUACCAUAUACGUAGGGUUUUAAAACAAGUCUCCUGCCAAAAGCAGUUUGAAAACCACUUCACAACAACAUCGUCCCUUCUGUGAUACUAUAGCCCAUCAGCCAACUCCAUCCCAUGAGCCAAACCCAGACCACCGCCUGUUUUCGUAUGAUGUGUGAGCCAAGAAUGGUUUUUGCAUUUGCAGAUGCUGAAAGUCAAAAAAAAUCGAAAGAAAAUAAUAUUUUGUUACACAAGAAAAUCAGAUGAAAUUCAAAUCUCGGUGUCCAUAGGUACAGUUAGAACAAGCCACGCCUUCAUUUAAGACUUGUCUACAGCCGCUCUUGUGUGACAAUGGCAGAGCUGAGUAGCUGUGAUGGACCAUUUGGUCACAAGCCUAGAAUACUUAGAAUCUGGCCCUUUGCGGGAAUGUCUGCCCAGCCUUGCACAUCCAACUGCCUGAUACACACCUUCAUCCUUCCUUCAUGCCUUCCUUCCCUCUCUGGCCCUUUCUCCUUCCCAGCAAAACUUUAUUAUAGGUUUGUAUUUAGAAUCCAGUUAACUGGGACCCGCAGGUCUACUUUUCGAUGCUAGUGUAUUUUGAUUUUUGACUUGAGGACACGAUACUAUAGUGUCAGCUUCCAAAUUCAAACCACCUAAACUCUUAUCUGCUUUUUUAAUAGCAACCUAUAGUCAGCGUAGCUGGAGGAACUUGAGUGAAUGCUCCCACCGCUCUUAAUACAAGCAUCUGUUAAGUGAAGACUCACUAUUUUCCUGUCCAUUUGGGCUAUGAAAGUCUGGGCCACAGAAAAAGCAGAGCUGAAGUGCACAGACCACUCCACAGCCCCACAGCUACCCGAGGCCCCAGGCAGCUGGCUAGAAGGGCGGAGACAGGAGAAGGUGGAGCAGGGGAAGUUUUGUCCUCUCUGUUGCAGGUGUGGAUUGCUAGAAGGGAUUCAAGGCUAGAGGUCACCUGAGCCCAAGCAUCAGCCAAUGGCUCUUUUAUGCAUCAGGAGUAAGAGACAAUCAGAUACAUUUUAAAGGAGUCUGCUGUCACUGCUAACCAAAGGUAUGCAAAUUUAGACUAUGUUAUGAUGUAUUAAGACAUCAAUUUUAUACCCACUGAAAUCAUUUUAGAGAAAAUUUAACAUCACAAAGCCCAGUGCUUGUAUGACUAGAGGGGAAAAGGAACACACAUAUAUUGGAAAAAUCAUUUUGUCAUGCCUUUUUACCAAGGAGUUCUCCUGGCAACUCAUGCCAAGGCACAUAUUAAAAAAGAAAAAGAAAAAGAAAAAGAAAAA